rnacentral:rRNA from 1 species
AUGCUCGCUGCCGUGUCUCCUAUCUUCAUGGCUGAGCUGCUCCGGUCGCCUGCAGCGACGAGGAUACGUGUGGACGGAACUGAUGCCGGGGUGUUCAAGGCGCUGCUCCACUUCAUCUACACGGACGCGCUGCCGGAAGAGAUGGCGAAGCGAGAGACGUUGGCGACGAUGGCGAAGCCGCUGCUCGUGGCGGCGGACAGGUACAAGCUGGACAGGCUGAAGUUGAUCUGCGAGGAGGCGUUGUGCGGGCACAUCAAUAUGUUUUCGGUCGGCGCCACACUGGCGUUUGCUGAGCAGCAUUGUUGCCGCGUGCUUAAGGAGGCUUGCAUGCACUUCCUCGCUGAUCCGUGUAAUCUUGAAGCAGCCGUGGCAACCCGUAGUUUUGAUCAGCUGAAAGCAGCUUACCAUCCAACUCUCAUGUGGAAG